UGUGGGGGCGGGGCCGCGGCGACGCUGGGCGUGUGGGCGCAGAUGGCGGCGGCGCACGGCGCCUGAGCGGGCCGGGGCCAUGAGCGCCGCCCGGCCCCAGUUCAGCAUUGAUGAUGCCUUCGAGCUGUCCCUGGAGGACGCGGGCCCUGGGCCCGAGGCUAGCGGGGUCGCGCGCUUUGGGCCGCUGCACUUCGAGCGUCGGGCCCGGUUCGAGGUGGCUGACGAGGACAAGCAGUCCCGGCUGCGCUACCAGAACCUGGAGAACGAUGAGGAUGGAGCCCAGAUCUCUCCGGAGCCGGAUGGGGGAGUCAGCACCAGGGAUUCCGGCCGAACUUCCAUCCGCAGCUCCCAGUGGUCCUUUAGCACCAUCAGCAGCGGCACCCAGCGCUCCUACAACACCUGCUGCAGCUGGACCCAACACCCUUUGAUCCAGAAGAACCGUCGAGUGGUGCUGGCCUCCUUCCUGCUCCUGCUGCUGGGGCUGGUGCUGAUCCUGGUCGGCGUGGGACUGGAGGCGACCCCCUCUCCAGGUGAGCGACCCUCCCGCCCCCACAGGCAGAGGACACCCCUGUCUUGUGUCCACGGGUCCACGGCAAGCCCUCCCACCUCCCGGCAGUACACGGCCACUUUUCAGCUGGGAGAGAGGCUUGCCCGGGCAGUCAGCGGCAGCCCGGAAGGCCUCGCAGCCCCUGCCCCCUUGCCCUGACCGGGCUGUGGUCCCUCCCGCAGGUGUCUCCAGCGCCAUCUUCUUCGUGCCGGGCUUCCUGUUGUUGGUGCCUGGAGUCUAUCACGUGAUCUUCAUCUACUGCGCGGUCAAGGGCCACCGGGGCUUCCAGUUCUUCUACCUGCCCUACUUCGAGAAGUGACCGCGGCGCAGCGUGGACUCCUUGCAUCCACGUGGGCGUCUCUCUGACCCACGCCCUGUUCCGUUCCCCUCAUCUCAAGGGAAGAGGCCCUCCAGGGCCCUCGAAACCCCAGCCCCUAGGGAGUUUGCUCAGGAAGUUUGGGGAAUGCAGGCCUGGCCCUGGGAAAGCCGCCCCUCGCCUGCUCUGUGCCUUAACUUAUUCUCGGGCCAUGCGGCUGCUAGGUUGCUAUUAUUUUGUGCUAAUAAAAGAGUAGUUAAUUCCACC